rnacentral:rRNA from 1 species
GACGAACGCUGGCGGCGUGCCUAAUACAUGCAAGUUGAGCGAUGAAGAUUUGUGCUUGCACCAAUUUGAAGAGCAGCGAACGGGUGAGUAACGCGUGGGGAAUCUGCCUUUGAGCGGGGGACAACAUUUGGAAACGAAUGCUAAUACCGCAUAACAACUUUAAACAUAAGUUUUAAGUUUGAAGGAUGCAAUUGCAUCACUCAAAGAUGAUCCCGCGUUGUAUUAGCUAGUUGGUGAGGUAAAGGCUCACCAAGGCGAUGAUACAUAGCCGACCUGAGAGGGUGAUCGGCCACAUUGGGACUGAGACACGGCCCAAACUCCUACGGGAGGCAGCAGUAGGGAAUCUUCGGCAAUGGACGAAAGUCUGACCGAGCAACGCCGCGUGAGUGAAGAAGGUUUUCGGAUCGUAAAACUCUGUUGGUAGAGAAGAACGUUGGUGAGAGUGGAAAGCUCAUCAAGUGACGGUAACUACCCAGAAAGGGACGGCUAACUACGUG